UAUUAAAAUCAGACAAUGUGCACUUUAACCACGUGUGAUUUUUUCUAUUACUAAUCUCAAAUUGUGGAGUACAGAGGCAAAUAAAUAAAUGAUGGGUCUUUGUCCCGAACUUUAUGGAGGCCACUGUAUAGAUCAGAACCAGUCAUACAGCAC